GCCCUCGCGCCAACGCGUCCGUCCCAAGGUGCAAUCCCUCCCAUCAAUUCUCUCUCCUCCCCUCCCCGCGAUGGCGCCACCGAUUCGCUGCCGCGGUUCUUAUCCUUCCGCCUGUUUCUGAUGCUGGUUGGAGGAAACGGAAACGAAAAGCUUCUCCUCGCUCUUCGCCUCUGGAGACCUGUUUCCCGCUGGUUCCCCCUCUGCCGUCUCCUUCGAUCUCUUUGAGAUCGACCUGGAGAGCUCGGCGAUCUCAUUUUCAUCGGCUUCAUAUCCCUAAUAGAUGGUUGCCGCCGUAAAGGAUUCGGAUCUGAUUCUUACAUAUUUUCAAGAAAGCCUAACAUUUGCCUCUGUCGUUCAGGGAUUGAGCGAUCCAAUCCCUCAAAGCCGUUAAACCCGCCAAAAUUCGUUGCCCUAGCUUCAUCUUUCAAAGGCUCCGAGGCGGUCCCUAGCUUUCUCAUGAUAGCUCCUUGCAGUUCUUGGAUCCCGAUUCCAGUUGUGAGGUUCGUUUCUGGCGUUUCCUACCAAUCUUUUUCUAUUUAUUUUUAUUGUAUUAUACAUUUUUUAUGAUCUGGAUCCUCUAGUUACUAUAUUGUGCCAUAUAUCAUAAAACAUGGGAAGUAUGAUAAAAAGGUUCAAUCGAGGAAAUAACUAUAGUAAUGAGGAUGAUUGCCGUUCUAAGUGUUGAUUUUUGAAGAAUUUUGAAGUUACAUAUGGUUUUUACCACUAUGUUAGUAAAAGGGAACUGACCAUCAACGGGGAGGCAUUAGUUGUUGGUUGGUGAGUACUUAUAUCCCUCUGGUGUGCGGACUUUCUUGGUUCAAAUCUGUUUAUUAAACUGAAUUUAUAUUAACCUUUUCAAGGUUAGCUUCUUUGCUGAUAGAAUGGUUGUUUGAAGAAGUUACUAUGGUGGUUACUGUGCAACGGAGGAAAAUAAACAUUUAUAUGUUUAACGAUUUUUCUACAAUAUGAUUUACAAUUUUGACUAAUGAAUUUAGACGAAUUUGAGUUGUUUGCUUCGUAUAUGCAUCUAAUUUUUUCCCUUCUUCAUUGGAUUAACCAAGCUUUGCGUAAAUUACAAUUUGUUUAUUUUGUGCUAUUUCUGAAAACCAGAAUGCUUUCAUGUCAUUCUGGUGGCUUGAUGUUUUGGUGGAGGUAUAUGCCUAAAUAAACUUGAUGUCUGUACUAUUUUCUUGAGGUGACAUAGAGACUAGCCUUUAGUGGCAAGGUUCAUAAUCCUGUAUCCUAUUUAAAGAUGCGAAACUCAUGAAGUAAAUUAGUUGUCAUAUGGAAUUUGGCGAGUACAUUUAUGCAUCAUCAUCUCUUGGGUAUUCUGGUAGGUGUUGGUGAACCAUGCAAGUUUGAGAUGUCAGUGAUGCAUACUUCCCUUGUUUCAAAAGUGUUUUCCUCAGGGAAGAUAUGAACACUGUGCAUCUAAACAUUUGCUCAGUAAGUGUCCUAACAUGCAAAACGACUAUUCUGACUUGUUCUGUUCCCUUGUUGAUUACUGGACUAUUCAGAGUUGAUUUUUUUCCUGGUUUAUUACUUUCAGCUGCAAGAUUACACCUAACUACCGAUAUGCAGAAGUUAAUUUUUUAGUAUAUCCUGAUAACUCAGACAAUUUCUGUCUGCUUAUACACUUGAUUUAUGCAAGUGGAAUCUGUCAUAGCUGAACAGGCAUUGAAGAGAUGUAUUGGCUGUUUAUGGUUGCAUCAACCGAGUUAUACAACGGGAAUGUUGUUAUCAGAACUUUAGUCAUCAGCAGUAACAACGAACCCUAACAUUAUGUUUUCUUUAAAGGGAAAAUCCUUUCAUAUAUAAGGUUUACUUCAUCCCUGUUUGUACCUAAUACUGUGCUAAUAACCUUGAUGUUUCUACGGCGACAUCUUUUAUUAAAAGGUGCUUCUCUAAACCUACAAUUUUCAUUCUUUUUACAAAACCAAUGUCAGAUCUGGACAAAGAUUUGUGUUCAGUCUAGUACUAUUCUGCUUUUGAUUGCUUUGCUAUCUCUCAAAAUAGAAUUUUCCAUUCUAUUUAAUAUUGUAUUGAUCCUGAUUCUUCUGUGAGAGGAACACAUUGCAACAGUGAAGAGUUACUAAUCAAAAUCAUUAUUUUAAUCUUUAUCACUUUGGCAUGCAUGGCAAUUGAAUCAAGAUACCAAAAUUGGCACAGUUCCAGAAGAAAAAAAAUUGGAG
rnacentral:lncRNA from 1 species